rnacentral:rRNA from 1 species
GACAGGGGGUGCAAGCGUUGCUCGGAAUCAUUGGGCGUAAAGCGCACGUAGGCGGUCUCGUAAGUCGGGUGUGAAAGCCCUCAGCCUAACUGAGGAACUGCGCCCGAUACUGCGAGGCUAGAGGAUGGGAGGGGAGAGUGGAAUUCCUGGUGGAGCGGUGAAAUGCGUAGAUAUCAGGAGGAAUACCAGUGGCGAAGGCGACUCUCUGGCCCAUUCCUGACGCUGAGGUGCGAGAGCUAGGGGAGCAAACGGG